ACCGGUCCUCGGUAGUGGCUGCCGGAACGCACGCCCUCGCGGCGUAACGAAUUCCGGCAGCUUCGAUCGAAGGCCGUC
rfam:Gordonia hirsuta DSM 44140 = NBRC 16056 DNA, contig: GOHST42.